rnacentral:rRNA from 1 species
AGUCCUGCGAGUGAAGCGGGUAAAGCUCAAAUUUAAAAUCUGGCGGUCUUCUGGCCGUCCGAGUUGUAGUCUGGAGAAGUGUUAUCCGCGUCGGAUCGUGUACUAGUCUCCUGGAAUGGAGCGUCAUACAGGGUGAGAAUCCCGUCCAUGACACGCACGCCCGAUGCUUUGUGAGGCACUCUCGAAUAGUCGAGUUGUUUGGGAAUGCAGCUCAAAAUGGGUGGCAAAUUCCAUCUAAAGCUAAAUAUUGGCGAGAGACCGAUAGCGAACAAGUACCGUGAGGGAAAGAUGAAAAGCACUUUGGAAAGAGAGUUAAACAGUACGUGAAAUUGUUGAAAGGGAAACACUUGAAGUCAGUCGCGUCCCGUAGAACUCAGCCUGGCUUCGGUCUGGUGUAUUUUCUAUGUGGACGGGUCAACAUCAGUUUUGGCCGGUGGAAAAAGGCAGAGGGAAUGUAGCGCCGCUUCGGUGGCGUGUUAUAGCCCUUUGUCAAAUACACUGGCUGGGACUGAGGACCGCAGCACGCCCUUGUGGCCGAGUUUUCUCUCCCACGUACCGUGCUUAGGGAUGUUGGAAUAAUCGGCUUUAAGCGACCCGUCUUGAAACUACGGACCAAGCAGUCCGACAUGCUUGCGAGUGUUCGUGGUG